AACGAACGCUGGCGGCAUGCCUAACACAUGCAAGUCGAACGAGACCUUCGGGUCUAGUGGCGCACGGGUGCGUAACGCGUGGGAACCUGCCCUUAGGUUCGGAAUAACUCCCCGAAAGGGGUGCUAAUACCGGAUAAUGUCUUCGGACCAAAGAUUUAUCGCCUUUGGAUGGGCCCGCGUUGGAUUAGCUAGUUGGUAGGGUAAAAGCCUACCAAGGCGACGAUCCAUAGCUGGUCUGAGAGGAUGAUCAGCCACACUGGGACUGAGACACGGCCCAGACUCCUACGGGAGGCAGCAGUGGGGAAUAUUGGACAAUGGGCGAAAGCCUGAUCCAGCAAUGCCGCGUGAGUGAUGAAGGCCCUAGGGUUGUAAAGCUCUUUUACCCGGGAUGAUAAUGACAGUACCGGGAGAAUAAGCACCGGCUAACUCCGUG
rnacentral:rRNA from 1 species